rnacentral:tRNA from 1 species
GGAGUUGUGGCUCAGUGGUAGAGCACUUUCCUUGCAUGUAAGGCCCUGGGUUUGAUUUUCAGCACCA